rnacentral:lncRNA from 1 species
GAGCGGCCUCAUGGGGUUUUUGAUUAUGUGAUUACUUGGCCGUUUUUUUAAUGAUUAUUUGAUUAUUAAGCCAAAUAUUUCAUGAUUCUUGAUUACCUAGGACUUGUAUUUUUAGUUUAUGAUUAUUUGAUUACUAAAAAUAAGCAAAUAUUUAAUGAUUAUGUGAUUAUAUUGGCAAAAAAAUGGUGAUUAUGUGUUAACUAGACCCCCCAUGAGGGGCCUCA